rnacentral:rRNA from 1 species
UACAGAGACUGCAAGCGUUAUUCGGAUUCACUGGGCAUAAAGGGUGCGCAGGCGGCCAAGUGUGUCAGGUGUGAAAUCCCGAGGCUUAACCUCGGAACUGCGCCUGAAACUACUUGGCUAGAGUACUGGAGAGGGUAACGGAAUUCACGGUGUAGCAGUGAAAUGCGUAGAUAUCGUGAGGAACACCAGAGGCGAAGGCGGUUACCUGGACAGUUACUGACGCUCAGGCACGAAAGCGUGGGGAGCAAAAGGG